rnacentral:rRNA from 1 species
GACGAACGCUGGCGGCGUGCCUAAUACAUGCAAGUCGAACGCUUCUUUUUCCACCGGAGCUUGCUCCACCGGAAAAAGAGGAGUGGCGAACGGGUGAGUAACACGUGGGUAACCUGCCCAUCAGAAGGGGAUAACACUUGGAAACAGGUGCUAAUACCGUAUAACAAUCGAAACCGCAUGGUUUUGAUUUGAAAGGCGCUUUCGGUUGUCGCUGAUGGAUGGACCCGCGGUGCAUUAGCUAGUUGGUGAGGUAACGGCUCACCAAGGCCACGAUGGAUAGCCGACCUGAGGGGGUGAGCGGCCACAUUGGGACUGAGCAACGGCACAAACUCCUACGGGAGGCAGCAGUAGGGAAUCUUCGGCAAUGGACGAAAGUCUGAACGAGCAACGCCGCGUGAGUGAAGAAGGUUUUCGGAUCGUAAAACUCUGUUGUUAGAGAAGAACAAGGAUGAGAGUAACUGUUCAUCCCUUGACGGUAUCUAACCAGAAAGCCACGGCUAACUACGUGCCAGCCGCCGCCGUAA